rnacentral:misc_RNA from 1 species
CAUAAUAAGUGUUUUAUGGCACUUUUUAAAUCCAUAUCCACCUUGUGUGCAAUGUCAGUCGAUCUUCUUCAUGGAGAUCGACCAAACAUCAACCUUUAUCUUUUAACUCUUUGUCUGAAAAAUAUUAUGAAUAAACAAUUCAAAAUA